GAAGUGCUCUGACCAGCAGCUCUUGCAUGAGGCACCUACAGGCAGAGGAUUAAUUAGGUUUUCAGUUUCAGUUUCCCAGAAAGGAGGAAACAAGCUCCUACUUCCAGAAAAAGUGCUCCUGGGACUCCAGGAUACCAGGCAUCUGGACGCGGUGGUACAUGCCUGUAAUCCCAACACUUAGGCAGGAGGAUCACUCGAGCCCAGAAGAUCAAGACUAGUGUGAGCAACAAAAUCCUUCCCUGGCACCGGUUCCAGGAGGACCUCGUUCUUAGGCAGCAUCUGUGUCUCUGUUUUGUAAGACACACAGAGUAUCCUUAACCCACUGCAGAUAUUUCCCUGGGUCCAUGGUCAAUCAACACCACCUUUCAGUCUCCAGCCUCUUAACCAGCCCAGGGCUGAGUGUUGUUUAUAGUAUUAAUAUGUUUCUGGCUGGGCUCAGUGGCUCAUGCCUG
ensembl:lncRNA BISPR BST2 interferon stimulated positive regulator